rnacentral:rRNA from 1 species
AGAGUUUGAUCAUGGCUCAGGACGAACGCUGGCGGCGUGCCUAAUACAUGCAAGUCGAACGGCAGCGGGAAAGUAGCUUGCUACUUUUGCCGGCGAGCGGCGGACGGGUGAGUAAUGCCUGGGAAAUUGCCCAGUCGAGGGGGAUAACAGUUGGAAACGACUGCUAAUACCGCAUAACGUCGCAAGACCAAAGAGGGGGACCUUCGGGCCUCUUGCCAUCGGAUGUGCCCAGAUGGGAUUAGCUAGUAGGUGGGGUAACGGCUCACCUAGGCGACGAUCCCUAGCUGGUCUGAGAGGAUGACCAGCCACACUGGAACUGAGACACGGCCCAGACUCCUACGGGAGGCAGCAGUGGGGAAUAUUGCACAAUGGGCGCAAGCCUGAUGCAGCCAUGCCGCGUGUAUGAAGAAGGCCUUAGGGUUGUAAAGUACUUUCAGUUGGGAGGAAGGCGUUGAUGCUAAUAUCAUCAACGAUUGACGUUACCAACAGAAGAAGCACCGGCUAACUCCGUGCCAGCCGCCGCGGUAAUAC